rnacentral:rRNA from 1 species
AACGUAGGACGCAAGCGUUAUCCGGAGUUACUGGGCGUAAAGCGCGGGCAGGCGGUCGGUCAAGUCUGAUGUGAAAUCUCUCCGCUCAACGAGGAGCAGCCAUUGGAAACUGGGCGACUGGAGUCUGGCAGAGGUAGGCGGAAUUCCGGGUGGAGUGGUGAAAUGCGUAGAUAUCGGAAGGAACAUCAGUGGCGAAGGCGAACUUCCUGGACCAAUACUGACGCUCAUGUGCGAAAGCGUGGGGAGCAAACAGGG